rnacentral:rRNA from 1 species
UACGUAGGGUGCGAGCGUUUAAUCGGAAUUACUGGGCGUAAAGCGUGCGCAGGCGGUUCGUUGUGUCUGUGGUGAAAGCCCCGGGCUUAACCUGGGAAUGGCCAUGGAAACUGGCGAGCUGGAGUGUGGCAGAGGGGGGUGGAAUUCCGCGUGUAGCAGUGAAAUGCGUAGAGAUGCGGAGGAACACCAAUGGCGAAGGCAGCCCCCUGGGUUGACACUGACGCUCAGGCACGAAAGCGUGGGGAGCAAACAGG